AUUCGUGCUAAACCUCGUGGAGAACAGAGGUUUAACCUGAAGCCGAUCAAGAAAUUUCAUGCUGGCGUUAGCCCUCAUAAUUUCGACAACCUGGCUGUUUAGUUUGAGUCGCUCUAUAUAACAAAGUAUCUUACGUUUAGCUCAUUAAUGUGUAAAAGCAUGGAAGGACCAGGAAUAUAGUUUGGUGUAAUAUAAUAUACUUCAGUAUAAGGCUCUACGAGUGCUGACCACUGCGUAGAAUAACUUUAGUGUGAUUCCAUGGAAAUUCCCGACGUUUUGAGUGCAGGCCCUCCUGGUGAGGAGAGUUUAUAGUAGGAAGAUAUGAUUUAAAUAUUUUGCGCGACGCGACGCCAAUCCUGGCGGGAUUGCGGAAAUAACCUAGCAGGGAACAGUUAUUAAAUGGUGUAAUCUUUAAACAACUAUAUUCCUCGUUUUUAUACUCAGUGUAAUUUCCUGCUAUACGUUGUAACGUAUAAUUAUAUAUACAAGUGUGAUCCAAUAUUAAACCUGGAAACGAGGUUGAGAACCAUUCUCAGCAGUGGGCAUCCUUGCAUAUUGACGAAUUCAAACUUAUACUAAGUGCAUUUAUUACAUGGUCCUUCAAUUGAUUUUACAUAUAAACUCGCUAAAAAUAUAGUAAUUAAAGCAACGUAUAAUGUCAGUCAACUGGUUUGAAGCGUUUCGGUUAUAUUUCAGAUCGAUUUUUCCAUGUUUUGCCACUCUGUGUUGCAUCCAGUAGACGCCACUUCGUACACGCUAUGAAUCACUUCAAUUACAUGGUCGAGAAGCCCAGGAUGAACUUAAGCAUCAAAUUUUUUCAUUGAUUUCCAGUUAAGCCCUAAAUUGAUUGGCCCAAAUUGUGUUCCUUUUUUCGAGUUUAUGAUCCGCCCUUGAAGAGAACUGAUGUGCCUUGAGUGAGUUCGUGGUUGGCUCGAAUGGAUUGUUUCGAAGAUCACCUACCUCAAUUGUGUCAUUAAGUUGCUUUUUCGUCACAGUAAUUCGUACUAAAUGCACCUACUCGUUAAUUGAGUCUUAAGUACUCCCCUGGCCUGCGAUUGCUUAUAAUCUUAUGAAUGAGUUACAGGUUCCCAGGGCAGACGCAAUUAUGGAAACGGUUAAUAUUAAUUUCGGCGCAUGAAAACGGACUUCACUUUUCUUAGUAAGAGCUAAUUCGCAAAGUGGAUAAUGGGCUCCGCUAUUGGCCCAACAUCUAUUCAACUACAUCAAGUGAUCGAGGUAGUAGCGAGUUAAUUAGUGUGGACUGUCGUGCGACAUCCAAAAACCGCUGACCCGGUACUACUAGCGAUUGUCUCAGCAUUGACGCGCGUUUGACCUGCCAUUUUAACUAUAGCUUCAGAUUUAAAUUAAUCUAACAUUUCAUUUGUUUUAAUAUUUUUCUCUUUCCUUCUAUUUUAGGUAUGCCUAAAGAAAACUUUUACUCAUGUUACAUAUUGUUGAACUUUAUCCGUUACAUAUUGAUGCAUGCAUGAUAUUUGUACUUUAAUGUGGCCCGCAAUAUGCCUAAGUUAAGGUCACAAAGGCCACAAUUGCAAUAUGAUAGUUUAAUAUUUAUUAUAAUGAAUUGAUGACAAUAUUGACUUACGGAUUGAAUGAAGAUACCAUUGUAACUAUAUAUUCAAUAAAUAUGAAUAAUAUAAAACAUUCACUUUGUUUAUUUUUGAUCAAAUGAAGUACAGUGGAGGCUCCAAAAUUUUUUACUUUUAUAUAAUUCUACGUUUCGGGGAUGCCCAUAUA
rnacentral:lncRNA from 1 species